rnacentral:rRNA from 1 species
UACAGAGGAGCCAAGCGUUGUCCGGAUUGACUGGGCGUAAAGCGCACGCAGGCGGACGCGCGCGUGGGGUGUGAAAUCUGGCCGCUUAACGGCCAGGCGCCAUCCCAUACGGCGCGACUGGAGUGAUGCAGAGGUCGAUGGAAUUGCCGGUGUAGUGGUGAAAUGCGUAGAGAUCGGCAGGAACACCUAGGGGGAAACCAGUCGACUGGGCAUCUACUGACGCUGAGGUGCGAGAGCGUGGGGAGCGAACCGG